rnacentral:rRNA from 1 species
AUUGAACGCUGGCGGAAUGCUUUACACAUGCAAGUCGAACGGCAGCACGGGUGCUUGCACCUGGUGGCGAGUGGCGAACGGGUGAGUAAUACAUCGGAACGUACCCAGUCGUGGGGAUAACGUAGCGAAAGUUACGCUAAUACCGCAUACGUCCUGAGGGAGAAAGCGGGGGACUGUAAGGCCUCGCGCGAUUGGAGCGGCCGAUGUCUGAUUAGCUAGUUGGUGAGGUAAAGGCUCACCAAGGCGACGAACAGUAGCUGGUCUGAGAGGAUGAUCAGCCACACUGGAACUGAGACACGGUCAAGACUCCUACGGGAGGCAGCAGUGGGGAAUUUUGGACAAUGGGCGAAAGCCUGAUCCAGCCAUUCCGCGUGAGUGAAGAAGGCCUUCGGGUUGUAAAGCUCUUUCGGCAGGAACGAAACGCUCUAGAUUAAUACCCUGGGGUAAUGACGGUACCUGAAGAAGAAGCACCGGCUAACUACGUGCCAGCCGCCGCGGUAA